GGGGGCGUGCUGCGGAAGAGCGCGGGUAUAAAAGAGCAUCGAGGUCCGCAGCACAGCCCCAUCGGCGUGGGGACACACAGCUGUUCGGAUCGCGCCAUGGCCUGGGUCCCUCUCCUCCUGGCGGUGCUCGCCCACGGCACAGGUUCCCUGGUGCAGGCAGCACUGAGUCAGCCGGCCUCGAUGUCAGCGAACCCGGGAGAAACCGUCAGGAUCACCUGCUCCGGGGGUAGCAGCUACUAUGGCUGGUACCAGCAGAAGUCACCUGGCAGUGCCCCUGUCACUGUGAUCUAUAGCAACACCAACAGACCCUCGAACAUCCCUUCACGAUUCUCCGGUUCCACAUCUGGCUCCACAGCCACAUUAACCAUCACUGGGGUCCAAGCCGAGGACGAGGCUGUCUAUUACUGUGGGAGCUACGACAGCAGCAGCCAUGCUGGCUGUCUCCCUGCCAUCCUACAUCCACCGUUUGUAGUGUCCCCUGCAUGCACUGGGGCGGCAGCUCCUCACCUUCCUCUGCUCCCACUGAGACCACCAGCCCAGUCCCAGCUGGAGGGCCACCACCACUUGGUUGGUCCAUCAGCAUGGCACCAGUUCUCUUACGUGCAUCCCUCUCUGGAGAAGAGCUGGACUUCUAAGUACCAUUAGUGUCCUCCCCUAAAA